UCAGUAAAGAGUCAAAUCCUGGUGUGUAGAGAUCCUCAAGCCAGAAGUCCAGAUCUCUAGGACUCUUCUCUUCCUCCUGCAAAGGAAAAGGAAAACCGGCUGAACUCUGAGACAUCAGCAGGUAUCUGUCAUCAAACUCCACACGAGUGCCCUCUGGGGACGGAGGAGACCAGCUUUCAGUCUUCACCCUUUGCUCCCUCUGUGGAGACAACGAGGCAGCGAUUUGAAUUCUCAUCACACCUACCUUCAACUCUUUGCCCAGACAAAGAGAAGACACUGGAGACACUGGACACACAGGAGGAUGAUGGUUAAAAGUCAACAAGAACACGAGGCAAAGCGUUCCAGGAAGAAAUCAUACACAUUUUCUGACCAGGCAGCAGGUGAGCAGGGUCUCGGGGUCCAGCCAGUGCAGCAGGUAGAAGGCC